GUGGGGAAUAUUGGACAAUGGGCGCAAGCCUGAUCCAGCCAUGCCGCGUGAGUGAUGAAGGCCUUAGGGUUGUAAAGCUCUUUUGUCCGGGAAGAUAAUGACUGUACCGGAAGAAUAAGCCCCGGCUAACUUCGUGCCAGCAGCCGCGGUAAUACGAAGGGGGCUAGCGUUGUUCGGAAUCACUGGGCGUAAAGCGCACGUAGGCGGACCAUUAAGUCAGGGGUGAAAGCCUGGAGCUCAACUCCAGAACUGCCUUUGAUACUGAUGGUCUCGAGUAUGGAAGAGGUUGGUGGAACUGCGAGUGUAGAGGUGAAAUUCGUAGAUAUUCGCAAGAACACCGGUGGCGAAGGCGGCCAACUGGUCCAUUACUGACGCUGAGGUGCGAAAGCGUGGGGAGCAAACAGGAUUAGAAACCCCAGUAGUCC
rnacentral:rRNA from 1 species